UUCAGGCAUUUUCCCUUCAAAUGUCAGCAAGAUAUUCAUACUUUCCUGUCGUUGUCCUUCCUUGUUUUUAUACAGUCUUCUCACAUUAACAAUUUUCCCUCCUUUUAUAUUUUCAUGAAUUUCACCAGUGGUUAUACAUGUUGGAAUUCCAUAUAUUACCCCCUUUUCAACCUUAGCUACUCCAAUCUCUUUGGAUGUAAUCUUUUCCCCAUUCAUUUCUUUCAUCUUUUGUAGUUUGUUUUUUUGUCCAACAUCUUUCACUAUUAUCAGAACUCUCCCUUGUCCUAAACAUUUAGCCAAAACAACUGUUCCAAUGAUUUUAUCGAUCGCUUAGGAUAGUCCUAUUGGAUGCAAAUGCUUUCCUGAACUCUUUUCAAAUGUCAACAUAACUUUGAAACCAUUCUCCUCAGUAUUUUGUACAAUUUGUUCUCUUGGAUUUUCCUGAUUUGCUUUUUUUAUUGUAUCUUGUGUAGUUACCACCAUAUUCCCACUAUCUUCCUGGUUCUUACGUUUUGAGUUUUUCUUUCUUGAGUAUACCUCCGUAAAUCCUGACCUGUCCUCCAUUAUCGAUUCUUCAGAAUCUUCAUCCAUGAUUGCACAACAGCAAACUGUUUGUUCUCUGCUCUGCCUGUCAGAACUUUUCCCUUCUGCCGACGCAGUUGUUCGUAGGCGCUUUUCUAAACUU